GUCGGGGUAGCUCAGUUGGUAGAGCAGAGGACUGAAAACAAUCCUCGUGUCACCGUUUCAAAUUA
rnacentral:tRNA from 1 species